UACGUAGGGUGCAAGCGUUGUCCGGAAUUAUUGGGCGUAAAGAGCUCGUAGGCGGUCUGUUGCGUCGGCUGUGAAAACCCGGGGCUCAACUCUGGGCGUGCGGUCGAUACGGGCAUCACUUGAGUUCGGCAGGGGAGACUGGAAUUCCUGGUGUAGCGGUGAAAUGCGCAGAUAUCAGGAGGAACACCGGUGGCGAAGGCGGGUCUCUGGGCCGAUACUGACGCUGAGGAGCGAAAGCAUGGGUAGCGAACAGG
rnacentral:rRNA from 1 species